CAUACUGAUGUUUUAGUUACUGCUGAGCAGUCAAGGAUUUUUCAGCUUCUCAUCUUUGCCUGCCAGCAAGAAAGUAGGGAGUGCAUAAAAAGCAGGGAGAUGAGACAGGCAGGACAGCUGAGCCCAGCUGACCAAAGAAAUAUUCCAUACCAUAUGACAGAAUGCUCAGUAUAAAAGCUGGGGAAAAAGAAUGAAGAGGGGGACGUUUGGAGUGAUGGCAGUGAUCUUGCCAAGUAACCGUUAUGCAUGAUAGAGCCCAGUUUUCCUGGAGAUGGCUGGAUACCUGCCUGCUGGAUCUCUGAAAAAGAAAUCAUCUGCAAGUAUGCAUGCAAACAGCUGGUUUAGAGAUUUUUGACAACAGAACUCAGGAAGAUACUUUUUGCUGUUUCAGCAGCAUGUUUUUUGAGACACUGCGCUCUGGAAUUGAUAAGAUGACCAAUGGAAUGCAGAAGAAGCCCAUGUUUGGAUUUAUUGCUAUAGCAACCAAGGUUAACUGAUAAAAUUUCGCCUGUCCCCUAAGUGAGAGGGCUGUAUUUACAAGGAGAAGGGAACAGAACAGGUGACUAAAAUUGACCAACUGAGUAAUCCAUCCACAUCAUACACCCUAUAAAAGUGAGAGAUCGCAAGGUUCUCGCUCUCUUCGACCAUGGCCGGCAACUGAAGAGGACCCUGCCCAUUGUGCCUGUGAUCCGAGGCCUGGUUCCAGACCCUGCAUCCCUGAAUCCAGUUCUGGUUUGCUGUAAAGAUCCACCCAGGACUUCCAGGUGCCUGCCCUGCAGCCACUCAAGCCACGCCAAAUCAGCUCCCGCAGGCAACCCUGUACUACCCCAGCAAAUUCAAGAUUGGUUUUGUAUAUUUUAUAUAUUUCCUCUACUUGUUAGUAGCAUUAGUAAAGCAUUUAAAAUUUUUCCAACUUGCAAGUCUCUCUACCUUUUCCUCUUCAUCACCUUUCCUUAGCGGGGAGGGGGGUAGGGGGGGUAAGAGAGAGCAUCUGCCACGGUUUGUUGUUGCCCUGCAGUAAACUUUGACAAGUACUCUGAAAGAACAAGCUUUGAGUGGAAUUUCUUAGCCCUUUCUUUUCUCUGUCACUCGUCACCCAAAUUCCCUACUCCUCAAUAUCCAUUACAUUACAAAAGUAUCAACAAUGUUGUAUACAUCUGCUCCUUGCACACAACAUCCCUGCUUUCCAUUAAGAGGCUCUGCUUCGAACUGCCAUUGAAUCAGACAGGCAGCU